CAGAACGCAAGACCGAUUAUGACUGUGACUUAUGAACCACCUGAACUACACUUUUGAAGUCCAAUUGUUAUAAAAUCUAUGACAGCUCUGCUGUUAAAGACAGCCUAAACAUCAUUUUAUAUAACUGUACACGCAUGUGUGCGCAUGUGGCUCUAAAGUAGCCAGUUCAUAAGGAGUUGGUGUUGAAAGAGACCGGCUUUUUCCAAGCUACUUUGAUCAAUUUGCAGAGAUGAAUACAGACUUGAACCCACUUCCAUCGUCAAACCCUUGAGCACUGGAUGGAUCUGCUUUUCAAAGACUGGAAAGAACUGUGAUAUUGUUGUACGAGUGUGUUGUCUUCUUCUGAAAGGCAGGCCUUUAUUUUGUCAUAUAUUUGUUUAUUUAAAAUAUUUAUAAGCCACCUCUCUCCCAAAGGAUCCUAGACAGUGUAUAAUCAUAAAAAGAAACAAAGUUAUGUCUCAAGAAAUCAACCAGCAGAAGAGGUAUCUUAGCCAGGAAUUUUCCCAUUUUUCUGGUGAUGAAUUCAUUAUACAUUAUGCCAGGAAUUAUCUACAAGAUCACUGGAGCAUUCAAAUAUGUUUUCUAACAGACCUGUGAAAAAAAGAGAGAUAUUUCUGUUUACCAAAGCUGAAUGUUUUUUAAAACUCCUUUGUAACAUUCCAAGCAGCAUUUGCUGAAAGUCUGGGGUCAACAAAUGGUUUCUCAUGGGGAGGAGGGGGGGAGAAAUGAAAAUGCAAGCUUGAAAGUCCACACAGGGUGUUUACAUCCUGGGACUCCUUUGCCAGCUUGUCCCGUAAAUUCUUUCCGAGUCCUUUCUUGCCACGAAAGGUCAGAAGACGUUCAGGAACGCACAGCUAGAAAAAGAGAACGGUCGCUGGAAGGCAUGUUUCAAACUAUUCCAUUAAAAUGUCACUGAAGCACUGGCUGCAUCCACCGUCCUUUCGAGAGAGAGGAACUCACAGCUGAACUUGCUCCGGCUGUCAUGGGCUCAAUACUGGAAAACUCUGCACAGUGGAUAAAGGUUAUAUCAAACUGUCUUACUAAGAGGGGAAAAUCCACAUCUUUCUACAAAAAAGCAGAACAUGAGAUUGCUAAAAUCUCAGAAAGAGGCAGGCUUUUUGAGGUCUGCAAGAGGCUUCAUCAGGCACUGCCGUGCAGGAAGAAAGGGCAAAAUAUAGUGAUUUUUGGGGUGGGGAAAAUGCACCCAGGCCAACCCACUCUUUUUUAGGGUUUUCUGAUCCGCCUCGGGUCCUUUAAAGGUGGCUUACAAACAAACAAACAAAAAACCAGACCUAAACAGAGGUUGGGAUCUGUUUCGGUUCAGACCAGGGCCGGCUCUCCUAGCAGGCAGAGGGAGGCGCCCUGUGGGUGGCCUCAGGCGGCAGAUUUGGUGGGUCUUCAAAGGAGCCCAGACUUUUAUCC